AGAACGAACGCUGGCGGCAGGCUUAACGCAUGCAAGUCGAACGCCCCGCAAGGGGAGUGGCAGACGGGUGAGUAACGCGUGGGAACGUACCCUUCGGUUCGGGAUAACCCGGGGAAACUCGGGCUGAUACCGGAUACGUCCGCAAGGAGAAAGAUUUAUUGCCGAAGGAUCGGCCCGCGUCGGAUUAGCUAGUUGGAGGGGUAAUGGCCCACCAAGGCGACGAUCCGUAGCUGGUCUGAGAGGAUGAUCAGCCACACUGGGACUGAGACACGGCCCAGACUCCUACGGGAGGCAGCAGUGGGGAAUAUUGGACAAUGGGCGAAAGCCUGAUCCAGCCAUGCCGCGUGAGUGAAGAAGGCCUUAGGGUUGUAAAGCUCUUUCAGCGGGGACGAUAAUGACGGUACCCGCAGAAGAAGUCCCGGCUAACUUCGUGCCAGCAGCCGC
rnacentral:rRNA from 1 species